rnacentral:rRNA from 1 species
AGACUUUAGAUAUGAUCCAGAGUACCACGGGACACGUGAAACCCUGUGGGAAGCAGGAGGGACCACCCUCCAAGGCUAAAUACUACCUAGUGACCGAUAGCGUAUAGUACCGUGAGGGAAAGGUGAAAAGAACCCCGGGAGGGGAGUGAAAUAGAACCUGAAACCCUGCACUUACAAGCUGUGGAAGCACAUUUCUUGUGUGACCGCGUACUUUUUGUAGAACGGGCCAACGAGUUACGUUAAGUAGCAAGGUUAAGCACUUAAGGUGCGGAGCCGUAGCGAAAGCGAGUUUUAACUGAGCGUUCAGUUACUUGACGUAGACCCGAAACCGGGCGACCUACCCAUGAGCAGGAUGAAGCGAAAGUAAAAUUUCGUGGAGGUCCGAACCCACGAGCGUUGAAAAGCUCGGGGAUGACUUGUGGGUAGCGGUGAAAUUCCAAUCGAGCCCGGAGAUAGCUGGUUCUCCCCGAAAUAGCUUUAGGGCUAGCCUCAAGGUGAGAGAUACGGAGGUAGAGCACUGAAUGUCCUAGGGGGUAUUGCACCUACCGAAGACUAUCAAACUCCGAAUGCCGUCAUCUUAUACUUGGGAGUCAGACUGUGGGUGAUAAGAUUCAUAGUCGAAAGGGCAACAGCCCAGAUCGUCAGCUAAGGUCCCUAAAUGUAAGUUAAGUGGUAAAGGAUGUGGGAUUGCACAGACAACCAGGAUGUUGGCUUAGAAGCAGCCACUCAUUCAAAGAGUGCGUAAUAGCUCACUGGUCGAGUGAUCCUGCGCCGAAGAUUUCCGGGGCUAAAACUUACUACCGAAGCUACGGCAUCAGUAAUGAUGGGUAGGGGAGCUUCCCAUACGGGUUGAAGCAUGACCGUAAGGACAUGUGGACAGUAUGGGAGUGAGAAUGUUGGCAUGAGUAGCGAGAUGUGGGUGAGAAUCCCACAGGCCGUAAACCCAAGGUUUCCAGGGGAAGGUUCGUCCGCCCUGGGUUAGUCGGGACCUAAGCUGAGGCCGAAAGGCGUAGGUGAUGGACAACAGGUUGAUAUUCCUGUAC